rnacentral:tRNA from 1 species
GGGCCCGUAGCUCAGUUGGUAGAGCACCUGACUUUUAAUCAGGUUGUCACAGGUUCGAUCCCUGUCGGGCUCACCA